rnacentral:rRNA from 1 species
UACGGGAUAAUAUAUUUGAGAGGCAUCUCUUGAAUAUCAAAGGUGAGCCAGUACAGGAUGGACCCGCGUCGGAUUAGCUAGUUGGUAAGGUAACGGCUUACCAAGGCGACGAUCAGUAGCCGACCUGCGAGGGUGAUCGGCCACAUUGGCACUGAGACACGGCCCCAACUCCUACGGGAGGCUGCAGUCGGGCAUAUUGCACGACGGGCGAAAGCCCGAUUCCGCAACGCCGCGUGAGUGAUGAAGGCCUUCAGCUCGGCUAACUCUGGCCUCAAGGCAGAUCAUGACGGUACUUGAGGAGGAAGCCCCGGCUAACUACGUGCCAGCAGCCGCGGUAAUACGUAGGGGGCUAGCGUUAUCCGGAUU